rnacentral:rRNA from 1 species
ACUAUGCCCCGCCGUAAACUUAGAUAUAUUAGUACAACAAAUAUCCGCCCGGGAACUACGAGCGCCAGCUUAAAACCCAAAGGACUUGGCGGUGCUUCAGACCCCCU